CGCUGGCGGCGUGCUUAACACAUGCAAGUCGAACGGAAAGGCCCUGCUUGCAGGGUACUCGAGUGGCGAACGGGUGAGUAACACGUGGGUGAUCUGCCCUGCACUUCGGGAUAAGCCUGGGAAACUGGGUCUAAUACCGGAUAGGAGCCAUUUUUAGUGUGAUGGUUGGAAAGUUUUUUCGGUGUAGGAUGAGCUCGCGGCCUAUCAGCUUGUUGGUGGGGUGAUGGCCUACCAAGGCGACGACGGGUAGCCGGCCUGAGAGGGUGACCGGCCACACUGGGACUGAGACACGGCCCAGACUCCUAC
rnacentral:rRNA from 13 species